rnacentral:rRNA from 1 species
AACGAACGCUGGCGGCAUGCUUUACACAUGCAAGUCGAACGGCAGCGGGGUGGAGCUUGCUUCUCUGCGGGCGAGUGGCGGACGGGUGAGUCAUACAUCGGAACGUGUUGACAAGAGGGGGAUAUCCACCCGAAAGGGUUGCUAAUACCGCAUAAAUUCUGCGGCAGAAAGCUGGGGACCUAGGUUUAGGCCUUGCGCUUGUUGAGCCGGCGUUGUCGGAUGAGCUAGUUGUGGUGGUAUAGGAUCACCACGGCGAAUAUCGGUAGAGGGUGGGAGAGGAGGGUCCGCCACACGGGGAGUGAGACACGGCCCAGACUACUGCGGUAGGCAGCAGUGGGGAAUGGUAGGCAAUGGGGGCGACUCUGAUACAGCCGUGCGGCGUGUAAGAAGAAGGCGCUAGGGGUGGAAAGUACUUCUGUGAGGGGAGAAAAGAUAGCGGUGGAUACGGGCUGAUACUGACGGUACCGGAAGAAUAAGCACCGGCUAACUACGUG